UCGUGACUUCAAUGGGAAUAGAGGCAUCAAUGCGAUGUUGGUAAUAAAUAUCAAUAUAAUCAACAUCAAGGCGCUUCAGGGGGUGUUUGAUUUACCCAUUGGGUGCAAUUGAUAGCUGAUAGACACUCAAACAGGUAAAUUAUAGUGUUUGGCAAGUUAAAAAAAAUAGAGCUGAUAGCUGAUGGGCAACUGAUAUGAUACCCAUCAGCUGCAGUUUGUAUCAUAUCUAUUUUUAGAGCGGUUU
rnacentral:misc_RNA from 1 species